rnacentral:rRNA from 1 species
GUGCUGCAGCUAACGCAUUAAGCACUCCGCCUGGGGAGUACGACCGCAAGGUUGAAACUCAAAGGAAUUGACGGGGGCCCGCACAAGCGGUGGAGCAUGUGGUUUAAUUCGAAGCAACGCGAAGAACCUUACCAGGUCUUGACAUCCUUUGACCACUCUAGAGAUAGAGCUUCCCCUUCGGGGGCAAAGUGACAGGUGGUGCAUGGUUGUCGUCAGCUCGUGUCGUGAGAUGUUGGGUUAAGUCCCGCAACGAGCGCAACCCUUAUUGUUAGUUGCCAUCAUUCAGUUGGGCACUCUAGCAAGACUGCCGGUGACAAACCGGAGGAAGGUGGGGAUGAC